GAUGAACGCUGGCGGCAGGCUUAAUACAUGCAAGUUGAACGGUAACAUGUUGUAGCAAUACGAUGAUGACGAGUGGCGCACGGGUGCGUAACACGUGUGUAACCUACCUUAUACAGGAACAUAACGUUGAGAAAUCGGCGCUAACAUUCCAUAAUAUUAUUUGUAGGCAUCUAUGAAUAAUUAAAACUCCGGUGGUAUAAGAUGGGCACGCGUUCCAUUAGCUAGUUGGUAAGGUAACGGCUUACCAAGGCAACGAUGGAUAGGGGUUCUGAGAGGAUAAUCCCCCACACUGGAACUGAGACACGGUCCAGACUCCUACGGGAGGCAGCAGUAAGGAAUAUUGGGCAAUGGAGGCAACUCUGACCCAGCCAUGCCGCGUGCAGGAAGACGGCCCUAUGGUUGUAAACUGCUUUUAAUAGGGAUUAAAGUCGACUACGUGUAGUUGUUUGCAAGUACCUAUAGAAUAAGCAAUCGGCUAACUCCGUGCCAGCAGCCGCGGUAA
rnacentral:rRNA from 1 species